rnacentral:rRNA from 1 species
GAUGAACGCUGGCGGCGUGCCUAAUACAUGCAAGUCGAGCGAACAGACGAGGAGCUUGCUCCUUUGACGUUAGCGGCGGACGGGUGAGUAAAACGUGGGUAACCUACCUAUAAGACUGGGAUAACUUCGGGAAACCGGAGCUAAUACCGGAUAAUAUUUCGAACCGCAUGGUUCGAUAGUGAAAGAUGGCUUUGCUAUCACUUAUAGAUGGACCUGCGCCGUAUUAGCUAGUUGGUAAGGUAACGGCUUACCAAGGCAACGAUACGUAGCCGACCUGAGAGGGUGAUCGGCCACACUGGAACUGAGACACGGUCCAGACUCCUACGGGAGGCAGCAGUAGGGAAUCUUCCGCAAUGGGCGAAAGCCUGACGGAGCAACGCCGCGUGAGUGAUGAAGGUCUUCGGAUCGUAAAACUCUGUUAUUAGGGAGGAACAAACGUGUAAGUAACUGUGCACGUCUUGACGGUACCUAAUCAGAAAGCCACGGCUAACUACGUG